UCAUGAGAUAUAAAUUUAAAUAAUGAUAAUUUAUUAACUUCAGCUGUCACUGGUUGUACUUUGCAGCUUUCUGUAUUUGAUAUAUGAUAAAUUCCUUCUACAGCAUUGUGGGAGAGGUCCAUAAUGGUUCCAAUGCUCACUCUUUAGGCAUCAUCCAGAGGACGGUGUGAAGUAGAGCAUGAAUUAAGCCUGAAGGCUCUUGUCUCUUCUGAUUUACUUUCCUUUCGGGCAAUAAAAGAAAGUAUAAAACCCUGACAUGUGCUGAUGACUUCAGAUGCGUGGAGAUAAAGUGCCCUCUUGAGGCAGUGGACAGCACUACAGACGUUUCAAUUGUGGAACAAUACUUUUCUUGAGGAGUAUACUGUGUAGAUCAUUGAACUACUUGGAUAUAGUACUGGAUGCGUUUUUGACUCUUAAUGCGAGAAUAUUGGGAUGCAGCCAUUCAAAAUUAAGGUGAAGCUAACAUUUUUCCGUGAAAGAAAGCCUGCUUUGCUCAGUCAAGUCCCAUGGUGGGUCAUUCUACUCAGCAUAUUGACUGCACUGUUUUUACUGGGUCUUCUCUUCUACCUGUUAAAGAAGGUAAUGUGAUACUCAUCAUCUCGAAACUAAUUUGGUUUACCAGAAAGAUUAAAAUAAUAUAGUUACAUUGUAGCUAGAAAGGGUUAGUGUAGUUGCAUGUGUUUGAAAACACAUUUUUCAUUUGAAAAAAUCAUUUGCUGUGAUUUUUUUAUUGAAUUGUAUUGUUUUUCUGCUCCUCAGUUUGAAUGCUUAAAUUUUGAAUGUGUAAGAAUAAGGACAGGAACCAGAGUUGUGUCCUCUCAGGAAGAUGGACAAAGCAGUUUUCUAAUUCUGUGGAGAUUUAAUUUUUUCUUGCAUAAGUCAAAAUAAGUUUUUUUCUUUCUUUCUUUUUUGUGAGUUUUUUAUGUUGAGUGUACAUACAAUUUUGAGAAUUAAUAAUUAAAUAAUCUACAAACAAAAGUUUUAAAGUAUCACUAAGGACAAAUAAUGCUACUCUGCUUACUUCACAUCUGAUUAACAUGGUCAUCUUACAUUGUUAAUCAUACAUUUGAGUCUUUAAUGCAGUGAACGAACAAAUUACAUUUACAUAGUAAUGUGCACUGUCUGUAAUGUUAGUGGUAGAGUAAAAUUUCCUUUUGCGAUGUGAUGUAUUUGAAUGGAAUGACUCAAGUGUCACGGAGAAGGAGGUGGAGGUGUGCGCAGGAACAUCUUGAGGGCAGGUGUAAAGAUGAGGAUGGUGCCGAGCACAGAGACUGUGAGGAAGGUCCAGAGAAAAAUCCUGUCCAACACCUGAGCCACAAACUUCCAGUCCUGAACUACCUGGAAAAGAGAAGGAAUGUCCAUUAUCAUUAUCAUAACUGUCAAGACUAGCAUCUUCAUCAUCAAAUUAUUGUCAACACUAAAAAAGUGCUAAUAAAUAUCAUUCCUUUAUCAA